CCUUCAACCGUCGGAUUUGUCUGGCUCGUACAUUAUUUUACAACACGUCAUACUUAGACAUCAGUCAAAAUAUUACACUUAUUAUAGAGGACCUUCAGAUUUCUUGACUCGCACAUUAUUUUAUAGUACAAAGAAACUAACGUCAUAUUUUGACUGAUGAACACCCUUGCUUGCUGCAGCUUCUUCUCAAGGUUUCGCCUUCAAUACUUAGGCUUGACAUUAAGACGAGAAGCAAGCUUCUGACCCAGAGACCUGUCAGCCUGUACCCAUCCCAACAAUCCAAACACAAAAUGCAUUAAUAUUACCUACAUGUUAAAUGGCUCUACUCCAUCUGCAUUUAAUGGUUGGUGUGACACAAGGACUAUAAACCUACGAGUGUAAUAUCAUAACUGCGGAUGAUUAAGAUGCCAAAUCAAGAUUUAAAGUAUGAAAUGACUUAUGGUUGUGCAGCAUAUACAAGUUUUGUACAGUAGAAAAUUAAUCAGUAUCUACACAGAAGGAUUGGAGUUCCACCUGAGACCAAUAUGAAAUCCAGAUACUGCGGAUCUCAUAGGUGACCCUUGGAUCAGACAAGGUCUCAACCCAUCUGUUGAUGAAACGCUCUUGCCUAAAAGGAAGAUAAAAAUAAGAAACAAAACAAAUUGCAUUAAAGGAGAACUAGUUAAAAAGAUGCUCCGUCGUAAAAUUCAAGUAAAUUUGAAAACCAAGGAUAUACCUGUCCGGUGCAAAUGAACGGUAUCUCUCACCAGGCUGCUUGAAAUUGUUCUCCUUCUCAAUGACGACCUGUGAUGUUGAAAACAAAUAUUAGCACAUGGCCAUCAUCAUAAUAAAUUUAACUAGUUCAUAAGCACAAGUUAAACUGCUCCAAUCAUCUAAAGAACAAAAAGAUCCAGACACCACUGGUUCAGAGACUGAACAUUUAGAAUGAAAAGAAACCAGCAUUUGAAUCAAUUUGGUCCAAGAAAAAUCAUGACCAUUCAGGCAAACUGGUAGGAUACUGCAACUCAAUUGGAAUCCAAGUGGACCCCUUUUCUAGUUCAACUUCUAAGCCAGCUUCAAAUAUGGAAGAUAAUGCAGAAAAAGCAAACCUUCUCACGCUUGCCAUGGCAAAUAGUAGAAGGAAUAGGGAAUGUCUCCGCAUGACGAACAGGAUCAAACCUUGAAGGGAAGUAGUCGACCUAAGAAACACCAUUCAUCAGAAAAAUAACCCACAGGCAACAUAAAAUAGUCCGCCACCUUCCGAGAGAGAAAGAGAGAGAGAGAGAGAGAGAGAGAGAGAGAGAGAGAGAGAACCUCCUCAUCCCUGUGCAUGAAAUUCAUGGAACCGUCAUGGUGAUUGUUGUGAAAAGCACACUUGGGUGCAUUUACUGGAAGCUGCAGAUAGUUCGGUCCAAGGCGGUGCCUCUGAGUAUCAGAAUAGGCAAAGAUUCUACCUUGGAGCAUUUUAUCAUUUGUGUAAUAUAUACCAGGUACAACAAGAGCUGGGUUGAAGGCAAGCAUCUCAUUCUCAGCAAAGAAAUUAUCUAUGUUCUUGUUUAAUACCAACCGGCCCACUGGCUGCAAGGGCAAGAUAUCCUCAGGCCAAGUCUUGGUAACAUCAAGUGGAUCAAAGUCAAACUUGUCUUCAUGUUCAGGAUCCAUCGUCUGGAUGAAAAGCUUCCACUCAGGAUAGUUUCCAGCCUUGAUCGAGUCAUAGAGAUCCUGAGUAGCAUGACUGUGGUUAGUUCCUCCAACUCUUAUGGCUUCAUCCUCCAACAAACACUUGACUCCACACGUGGGUUUCCAGUGGAACUUCACAUAAUUUGCCUUCCCAGCCUUGUUGAUUAGAGUGAAGGUGUGAACACCAAAGCCUUCCAUGUGCCUAUAGUCCUGUGGGACACCCACAUCAUCGAAGAGGAAGGCAAAUGUGCUCAAGCUUUCUGGAUGGUAGGACAAGAAGUCAACAACUCUCCAAUACUCCUGGAUAUGGGACUUCGGAUUGGGUUUGAAAGCAUGGAUCACAUCAGGGAACUUCAUUGCAUCACGAAUAAAGAAGACUGGGAAAUUGUUUCCCACCAUAUCAAAAUUGCCCUGAUGCCAACAAGGUUUAAGAUUGAGCAAAUUAGUAAGUUAUUUCCUUUCAAAUGCAUCAAAUAAUUAACUACUCAGAUUUUUAUGAUGGAAACCUCAGUAAGAAAUACACAAUUCCAUCUUUCAAAUAACUCAAACAAAAGAAGAAUAGAUUCCAUGCAUACAGUUUGCCUAUAUGAAAAUACACACAAAGUUCAGUCUCUACCAGUCCAUAGUGACAUGCAUCAAUUAGAGUAUCUUCUCUCUCCCUCUAUCUUUGAGAAAACACACAACCAACAUGUACAAAGAGUACAACUAAGAUAUCAUCAGACAACAUGGACAUUGGUUACAAAGUUCUUCAGCAACAGACAUGAGACCUGAGGACGCAUACUGUAAAAAUGCAGAAUGACAUGCCUUCCAAGCACACAUUUCCUUCAUGGAACCAUAACCACAAGAAUUUAAAAACAACAGUCUAAUGCAUAUAAAUUGGCAAAAAACACCCUGUUUAUAUAAAUAACCUCCAAAUAUAAAACCUUUUUCUGAGCAUUGAGGUUGCAAUUAUGUAACGGAAUGAGUUUUCAAGGACUCACUUAAAAAUUUAUGGAGUGAUUGGAAAAUGAAGCUCUUUUUGAGAAUUUGUAAAUGAAAAACUUGAAAAGCCAACUGGAAAGACUCCUUAAUGAGAGAAGAAUUACUUAUUAAGCUAGUUCAGUUACCUCUCUAGUAUAGAACUUCACAGCAAAACCUCGAGGGUCCCUUAUGGUCUCAGGGCUGCCACGCUCGUGGAUAACAGUGGAAAACCUAACAAUAACUGGAGUCUGCACUCCAGGGGCACGAAGAAAAUCAGCACAUGUGAGGUCAGAGACAUCGUGAGUGACCUCAAAAAACCCUUUAGCACUAGCUCCUCUAGCAUGGACCACACGUUCUGGAAUGCGUUCUCUUUGAAAAUUUGCAAGCUUCUCCACCAAAUGAUAAUCCUCAAGAAGAACUGGGCCUGUAAAAAAAAGUGUGCAAAACUCUUAGUUUGUGCUUAAAAAAUGGCAUUUCUGAUUAUAUAUUGAAAUUUUCUAUAAUAAGGGCAUUUCUGAUCAUAUAUUGAAAUUUUCUAUAACAAAUUGGAUGGGCCGGUCCAACAGGUUGGACCGCUAAUAGGAGCCUAAUCCAGUCCAGUUCGCCCUUUGAGUCGGGGAACCUAUUGAACCUUAUCGGUUUGAGCCUGGGUAUUCUCUUUAAUUUCCUAAUAAAACAGGCCUAUGAUUGGGCUGGGCCUCUUGCCUCAUUAUGGAUGAGCUGGGACCCCAUUAUGGAUGAGCUGGGACCCCAUUAUUUGACAAUAUAAAGCCUCUAAUAUGUCCAUCAGAUUUUGAUGCGGGACUAAACUGAUGGGACAGUGAAGAAAAAUUCAUGUGGAAAAAGGAUGCAAGAUAAGGAUUUGAACAAACAACCUGGAGGUUAAAUCACAAGCCUAAUUCCACUCUGUUGUGCCCAUCUAAAAACAUCACCGAUCCAACUGCGGGUGGAUCACUGGUACCAAUCCAACUACGGGUGGACCAUCGGUAUCGAUCCACCUACGGGUGGACCACCGACACCGAUCCAAUUGAGACUAGAUCACCGAUACUGAUCCAACUGCAGCUAGACCACCAUACCGAUCCAACUGCGGUUAGACCACCAUACCAACAGCGAUUGGACCACCGAUUCAUGUUUUAAAUGCAUUUUUGAAAAAUUGACAUUCGAGCUAGAACUUCAAAAAUGAUCUAAACUAAAAAUCCAAAGGAACUAGAAAGGAAGUAAAAUUUAAUAACUUUCAAUAAAUUUCUUCAGAUUUAAAUAUCAUAUAUGUUUUAUUUAAUAAAAUGGUAAAAUAUUGAUACAUCUAUCUAUUUAAUUUAUUAAUAUUAAAAUAAAAAAUAAAAUAUUAGUGAUCUUUAAUUUCUUUAUAUAUAUUUUUUAAAAAUUAUAAAUAUUUUAAUUUUAAUAAUAUAUAAAUUAUAUAUUUAUGAUAUCGGAUCCAACUGAGAUCGAACCAUCAGCACGGAUCCAACUGCGGCCGAACACCAUACCGGUCCGACCACCAUACCGAUCCAACUGUACCGAUCAUUUUAAAUGCAUUUUUGUAAAAUUGACAUCUGAGUUAUAACUUCAAAAAUAAUCUAAACUAAAAAUCCAAAGGAACUAGAAAGGAAGGAACAGAAAUUAGAGUAGGUGAUAUAUGCUGUACAAACAGGUGAUCAUGAAACCUGAUAGGGGCGGUAAAUGAAAAGCGAUAGCCUAAAUUUCAAUCUUCUAAUUGUGGGAAGCUAUUUGCCUCCAGAUGAACUUGUAGAAAGGAACGUACUGGAAUGUUCUCUGCAUCUUGAGAAGGAAUCCAUGACGGUGAAGUACCACCCAGAUCAACCAAAUUCUAACUGAAGGAUUCAUAGAUUAUGGAAUACCAACAACUACAUGUACAGAGUAAUGGACCACUAUACCUCUUGAUCCAACGGUGAGCGACGAGUCAUUGUUAUAAACAGGCGCACCAGCAUUUGUGGUGAAGUAAGGAGAAUUAUAGGCGCUUGAAGGACGAUACUGCACCAAAUAAGGAAAGAAAAUAUAAUCAGCUUGAAUUCUGCGUGCUUUAAAAAAAGAAAAGUCUGAAAAAUCUAGCAUCAAAGUUUCCUUUUUCUUUCAUCUUCCUCCGAUUUCUCAGCAACCAAAGAAAAAGAUCGGAUGAAAAGCAAACAGGUUGGAGAGAGAUGAGAGCAGAUGGGCACCUUGUAAGGAUCCAUUGUGAUCAGCUGCGUUGAUGAGGCAGGGUCUCUGAAAAUCGGAUGAGCAGAGAGCUCACUCCCCUCGUCUAUUUAUUUCCAUUUUUACGGGAGAGACGCGUGUGGACGACUCGUGUGGAUACGCGUGGCCAUCACGAAACAUUAUUUUAAAAUAUCUAUCUAUUUUAAGGCUCUCUCUAGCAGACAGAAUUCAACGCAAUGAGAUAUGAUAAGAUCUCCACGUUGUCCACUAGAUGCUAAACGAUGAAAUAUGAUGGGACUCAUCGUUAUCUUUACGUAGAAAAUGUAUACCCAUGACAUGAGAUGUAUUAUAAAUUUAUAAUCACUUAUAUUUGAUUUAUAAAAUAAAAUGUAUAUUAUUUUUAAUGUCUUACUACUAAAAAAAUAUGUAAAAUUUCUUUUAAUUUAAUAGUACUCAUAAUUAAAAUAUUUAAAUUAUAUGGUUUAAUAUAUAAAAAUAUUUUUUAUAUAUUAAAUAAUACAUUUAUUAGUAUUAUUUUACGAUAUAUUUUAUAAAUACUUAUUUCUUCUUUUUAAUUCCAAUUUUAUUCUUUUAUUUUAUAAAAUAAGUAACAUAAAAAAAUAAAAAUAUUAAGAUUAAUCUAAAUAUCUCUUAUUUAUUAUGAUUUAUAAUAUUUUUUAUUAUCAAGGGAUGGUUUUGUAAAACUUAAUACUUAUUAUUGUGACUUUAAGAUAAAUUAUAUUUAAAUUAUUAACUUAAAAUUUAUUACUUUUAAGUAUUAAGUUUGUUUGAAAAAAUUGACUUAAAAUUUAUUCUAUAUUAUCAGAUUCAUAUAUUUAUCUUUAUAAAUUAUAAUUAAGGUAAAAAAGGUUAAAUAAGAGUGAAAGUUAUAAAGUAGUAAAUAAUAAUGAAGAAGAUCAUUUGAGUAAAAUGGUAAAAUAAAAAUAAAAAUAUAAAAAUAAGUUAAUAUUAUUUUUACUUAUUACUUAAAGUUAUUUUUUACUUUUAACCAUUAAAUUAUUUUAUCAAAUAUAUUUAAUUAUAAGUUUCAAUUGACAAUCAAGUCACUACCUAAAUUAAUAUAAUAAUGAUAAUUUACUUAUUAACCUAAAAUAUAUUUUCAUUAUAAUAUUAUAAAAAUUUAAUGAAUAAUUAUUAUCUUGAAUUAAUUUCACUCUUAAUUGUUAUACUUCUCACAUCUUUAAUUACAUUUUUUUCAUUUUAGAUUGUGGUUUUUAAAAAAAUAUUUUUUCCUUGUUACAUAAAUUUCUCAUGAGAAGAGAAUCAUCCAUUAAAAAAAAGCACUAAAUUAGAAAAGGUUAUUCGAUUAAAAAAAAAAGUAUUGAAAACCCAAUUUUAAAAAUCUAAUAUUUAAUAUUUUUUAUCAUAAUUAGAUUAAAACGUUCUUAUUUUAUUUUUUUAUCAGAAUUUAACUAAAGUGUCUUUAUUUUUUUAUUUUUGUUGUGAAAAUAAUUUUUUAAAAUAUCUUUAUAAAUAUUUUAAAUAAUAAAAAAUAUUUAUAUUAAAAAUAAGUUACUCUAAAAAAAAUAAAGGUUACUAUUCGCAACAUCCAUUUUGCUAAAUGUAACACAUUUUUGUCAUAUAUUUUUCCACAUAUACCAUUUUUAAUAAAUAACUAUCUAUAACCUCUUUUCAACAUAUUAAAUCUAAAUUCUAGUUGAUUAAUGUUGUAAAUCACAUACGAAAUUGUAGACCCCCCCCCUGAGGCUGCGAAGCGGGGGGGAGUUUCUUUGCUUUUUUUCUUUUUUUCUCAGGCGGCUGAUGGGAGGUUGGCUCGGGUAGAGAAGUGCGGUUGAUGGCAGGAAGCAAGCAGUGACUUGCUGAGGAAGACUCAAAACAGGAGAAGCUAAAAAGAAAAGAGGAAAAGGAAGGAAGGGGGGGGGGGGGGGGAAAUCUGCCAAAAGGAGGGGGACUUUUCUGGAGCAAAAGACAUCCGUGCGGGUGAGAUUCAGCGAGAGAGCAGAGGAGGCUGGGCUGGUGAAGACAGGGAGCANNNNNNNNNNNNNNNNNNNNNNNNNNNNNNNNNNNNNNNNNNNNNNNNNNNNNNNNNNNNNNNNNNNNNNNNNNNNNNNNNNNNNNNNNNNNNNNNNNNNGGGGGGGGGGAGCAAGGAAAAAAAAGAUCCGAAGACCCACUCACCCUGAUUCCUCUUGGCUCAGGUAUGAUUUUAAUCUAUUUUGCUUCCUCCUGUUUUGAACUGUUCUCCUCUGUUUUCAGUCAUUUGCGGAUUCCUUUGACAUUUGGAGACCACUUGUGCAUUUUGCUUCCUGUUUUGGAAUAUUCUAAGUGUAGAUUUGUCAUUGCAUUUGAUUUUUGAGGAUCAUGCCCAUGUUUUUCUUUUGGUUCUACCUAAAUCCCUCCCAUCGGCAUCUGUGGAAUGGGGCAAGACCCAACAGUUUUCUUUUACGUAUAUAUGCAUGCUCUGUUUUCUUCUCAUAUUUUUCUGUUAAGUUUUUUGAAUGUUGAGUGCCGCACUUUGCAUUUGGUCACCUGGGCCGAGGUGCCUACGGGAAAACACAAGUCCACUCCAUAGAUGCAGCCGCAUGAGAAGUCAAGGAGUGGACCCUCAUGGAAAAAAUGAGCCAUGUCAAGCAACUUUUCACCAGGCUUGAGAAGGACAUCAGAUUCAGCUAUUUUCGAGUUCGAUGUGCUAGGCUAUUAUCAGUGACAUUGUUUUGGUCCGCUGUGCUGGGUGCUUAUGCCACUUGCCAGCUGAUCAAUAUUCGCAUCAAGGAAAGACAUAGAUCGAAACCGUUGCAUCGAAUUUUAGAGAAACAAGCCUUUUGAUUAGAUAUAUUUCAGCCCUGCAUCAGUCCAUCACCCCCAUGACCCUUGUUAGCUAUGUUGACAUGCAUGCCGUAAACACUAUGGAGAUGAUUUUCAUCAUUUUCUACAUGCUAUUCAACUCCUCUUCCAUGCAAAACCAUUUUUUUCUUAAAUCCCAUGCAUGCCACCACCUUUAUGGGACCCUACAUCAUCACCUCUCUAUACCAAAUCCAUCAUACCCAUUUUCUCUCACUAACCUCUACUUCUCCUCCCGUCAUUCCUAACCUUUGUCUUCAUACCCAUAUUUCAAUACCCACAAAACUGUUUCUCUCUCUAUCUUCUACCACUCAUCUCACCACUCAUAACCCUCACCUUCACCCCAUGCAAAUGCCCAAAUACCCCACUUACCCAUCUUUUGUUCCCGCCACCUUUCCUCUCUCUAUCACCACCUACCCAUUUUCUCACCUCAUGCCCACUAUACUCAAGGCCAAUCUCAUGCACUGGUAGAUAUAUAUGCAAGGCACGGAGAUGAAGCUGUUGGAUGUUUUUUUGAAAUGCUCAACUAAGGGAUAAAAGCAAAUGACGUUUGUCUUCAUGGGUUUGUUUACAAUAUGUAUUCAUGCAAGGUUAGGUUGGUAAGGAGCUGUUUCAAUGCUAUAGAAAAGGAGUUCAUUCACUUACAUCUAAGGCCCCACGUGUAUUGGGUUGAUGGGAAAAUGGGUUUGUGGCUUUUUUUUUUAUUAUUUGUUUGUUUGCUUUUCUUAAGUACACGCCUGUUUUCCAUGCUAAGGUCAUUCCUAUUUUUAUCAUUUUCUUGGUUUUUUCCAACUUUUGAUGCCAAAGAUUCAUUUUCAAAAUUUUAUUUUUAAUUUAAUUAUUUAAAAAAACUCCCAUUAAAAAAAAUAUAUAUAUAUGUAUAUAUAGUUUUCAAAACUUUGACCUCCCAAACUUUAAUUAUUUUAUUUAUUUAUUUAUUUAUUUUUAAAUUUUCAUCCUUAAAAUAAUUUUUCGGGUUUCCACUUUUCAAAAUUUAAUUUUCCGAUGUUCCGUCCUUAAAAUAAUUUUUCGGGUUUCCACUUUUCGAAAUUUAAUUUUCCGACAUUCCAUCUCUAAAUAAUUCUUCAAUUUUCCAAUUCUUAAGUUCACUUCCCAAUUUUCACAAUUAUUUACCUAAUCAUUAUUACUAUUUUUCCAUUCGUUUAUCCAUUCACUUAUUCUUUUAUUUAAAAUCUCAUUUCUAAAUAACUCUUCAAACUUUCAAUCUCAAAUAUUUCACUAUUCACGGUCAUUCGUUUAAAUAUUAUUCUCAUUAUUAUUAUUAUUAUUCCAUUCAUUUAUUUUACAAAUUCCAAUAAUUAAGGUUCAAUUUUUCAAAUUUCCAUUUUCUAAAUUUAAUUUUCAAUCUCAGAAAUUCCACUAUUUACAUUAAGUUGUUUAAUGAUUAUUUUCGUUAUUAUUAUUAUCCUAUUCAUUUAUUUAUUCACUUAUUCAUAUAUUUAAAAUCUCAUCCCCAAAUAAUUUCUCAAAAUGUCAAUCUCUAAAUUCAAAUCUCCAAUCUCUAAAAUUCUAUUUUUCGCAAUUAUUUACCUAAUCUUUAUAAUUUCAUCAUUAUUAUUAUUCCAUUCAUUUAUUUAUUCACUCAUUCGUUAUUUAAGAUUUUGUCUUUAAAUAAUUCUUCAAAAUUCCGAUUCCCAAAUUUAGUUCUCCGAAAUUCCAAUUCCUUUCAAAUUUAAUUUCUAAAAUUCUCAUUCUUGUAUUUAAUUUCAAAAAUUCCAAUUUUCAAAUAAAUUUCAAAAAUCCAGUUUUCCCUUGAACAGUUUUUAAUUUCUAUUUGGUGACGCAUGUGAUAUGUUUUGUGCUCUUUAUUAUACACUAACCUCACUUCUUGAUAGCGCCUCAUGGAUCACUGCCCAGGUACGCAUCUACAUCCGCUCUGGUCAUUUUCGAUAUGCAUGUUUAGAUUCUCACGUGUGCAUGAUUUAUUCUGGGUACUCAUUGAUCUACUCGUCCACUGCCAUGAUUGCUUCAUUUUAUUAGUAGAGACCCGUUUUUAGGGACUUAGAAGGGUGCUACGGUUUUUACCAUACCUUCCUGAUAAGUAACCUGACCCCCGAACCCGAUCUGGUUUUUCACAGACCACCUUUUCCAAAAUAAGGAGUCGCACUUAGGGUUUUCUUUCUUAUUUUGUUUACCCUUUCAAAAAUAAAACAAAAAUAAGUGGCGACUCCAAGUCAUUCUUUUAACCAAUAAAAAUCAUUUUUCAAAUCAAAAUCGAGCUCGCCAUCGAAUGGAAAACGCAUUGAGCCAAAAUGCGGGGUCCACAGAAAUACAAUGAAUGAUAAAAUUUAAUCAUUUGAUGAUAAUUUUCAAGUAAGAUUUAUAACUUUUAUUUUUUUAUAAAAAAAUAUAUAUAUUUAUCAAAAAAAAAAAAAAACCCGGCGACCUAGUAGGGCUUGGACGUCCUAGGUGGUGGUGGCGGCAACCACUGGUGGCUUGGGCUAAAUUUUUUGCUUAUAAUAAUUAUAAAAAUCAAUUUUUUAUUUUAUUUUUUAUAAUAGUUACUAAAUUACUUUUCGUNNNNNNNNNNNNNNNNNNNNNNNNNNNNNNNNNNNNNNNNNNNNNNNNNNNNNNNNNNNNNNNNNNNNNNNNNNNNNNNNNNNNNNNNNNNNNNNNNNNNUAUUUUAUUUUUUAUAAUAGUUACUAAAUUACUUUUCGUUUAUAAUAAUUAGAAAAUUUUUCAUGAUAUAAAUUUUUGCUUAUAAUAAUUAUAAAAUUCUAAUUUUUUUAUUUGUUUAUAAUAUUUAUUAAAUUACAAAUUUUAUGUAGAUGAAAAGGAGGAUAAAAAUAAAAGAAAAAGAAUAUUAAAAUGUGGGUUGGGGGUUGGGAAAAAAAAAAAAGUGUAAUAGGGGCAUGAGGUUGGGGAGAGGAAAUGGUCUUAUGAAUAGUACUUGGAAAAAAAAAUCAUGAAAGUGGAAUCUCGAGAUUAUUCCGUUGAAAUAGAAAUAUCCUCGGAAGCAUAGGGCCAUAGGGGAUAAGGUUACUUUGAAAAUAAUAAUAAUAAAAAACAAAAAAAGAAAGACUGAACAGAAAGUGACGUAGUGCCAGUCUGCCAGAAAAUGCGACAUAACAACACCCCUUGCCCAGUGUGCACCAAUUGGAAAGGUUUUUGGUGGGGUUGAGGGGCCUGUGGUCCUGUGGAUCAAUAAUUCAUUAAUUCUUGGAUGAUGCCGGGGCCGGACUUUUAGUGGAUCAAUAAUGCUUAAAUGAUGAUGACAGGGGCGGGCUGCCUCUGGAUCAAUAAUGCUUGGAUUCAAGUAGUCUUUUUCAAAAAAAAAAAAAAAAUCUCAAACGUUAUUAAAACCACAAUUACUAAUAACAGUCACCAACUCUGACUUUAUAUACUAAAAAAAGGAAAAAAAAAAAAAAAACACGUGCAUAAACAUACGAGAAAUGCUAGAUUGAUAAAUAUUUUUUAAAUAAUUUAUUUUUAUUAUUUUUUCUUCAUAAACACUACUUUAACAUUAAACUUUGAAUGGGAGAUAACCUUCUUUAAAAAUAAAAAUAAAAAGUCCUAAUCCAGACUUUUUUAUUAAAAAUAUUUGUUGAAAUAGUGUGUUCCUACACCAUUAAAUUUGAACUUUAUUAUUAUUUUUAUUUUUUUUAAACUAUAAUUUUACUUUUAAAUUUAAAACCAUAAAUUCUAGAUUUUAAAAACCACUAUUAAUAUUUAUGAUUUUAAAUUUAAAGUUAAAACCACAAUAACUAAUUAUGUCUUAAGAAAAAAUUACGUGAAUGAACAUAUAAAGAUUAAAUUGAUAAAUAUUUUGGGAGAUGAUCUACUUUCAAUAUAUUUUUCUUAAAAAAUACUAUUUAAAAAAAUAAUAAAAAUAAAUCUCUUUUUAAAAUAUUUAUCAAUCUAGUUUUUAUAAUUACAUGUUCAUUCAAACGACUUUUUUUAAUAUAAAAAACAAUAAUUAAUAACUGUGAUUUUAUCUUUAAAUUUAAAAUUAUAAUUAUUGACAAUGAUUUUAAAAACAUUAUUGAUAAUUAUGAUUUUAAAUUUAAAGUUAAAAUAUGAUAAAUUAUAAUUUUAAAAAAUAAUAAUAAUAAAGUUAAAUUUAAUAUUAUAUUAACGUACUAAUUUGACAAAUAUGUCCAAGAUUUAUAAUUUUUUUUUUAAAAACGGAUUACUUUGACCGGAACUCGCAUUCAACUCUCAUAUUUCACUCCUUUAUGUCACCAUAUCGUGGAUAAGAUCAUAAGAAUAUUUUAUGGUAACUACCUCCUUAGGUACCGUACCAAAAUAUUUUUUAAGCCAUUGAUGUCCAAGCAUCUUGGCCAUCCAUUUUAAAUUUGCAAAACAAAAAUGCACUUAACCUUCUCAACAAUUUUGGGUUUAAAUAAAAUAAAUAUGAAACAAAAAUAGAAUUGAAUAAAAAUAAAAAUAAAAUUGAUAUAAAAUUUGUUAAAAAUAUUUAUUAACAAAAAAAAAAAAUCAUCACAUAUCAUAUUACAUUAUUUUAUUUUUAAUAAAUCAUGAAAUAUUUAAAUUCGACAUAAAAAAUGAAUAUGAUAAUAUUUUAAUAUAAAAUGAUUAUUUGCAUUAAAAGUCAACAUUUUAGAUAAUCUUAUGUAAAGUUUAGGUAAUUAGACCGUGGUAAUAUUUUUCAUACCAAACAUGAAAAAUGCUAUGAAAAUACCAAACAUGUAUUUAUCACAUUCUUUGUACCAUCUCUCAUAUUUUUUGUAUCCUUGAAAUUUUAUAAUUUUUUGAAUUUUUUUACUUAGAAAUACAAUAAUAUUCUUUAUUAAUACUAAUUAAGCUUAUGAAUAAUGAAAAUUAUUCUUAAAAAAUUUUAAAUUUAAAACAUUAAGUAAUUAUAGAGGGUACCAAGAAUUCCUCACAUUCUUCAUAUAUUUUUUAAUAUUUUUUUACCCUCGAAAUUUUACAAUUUUUAGAAAUUUUUUUCAACUUAGAAGUAUAAUAAUAUUGUUUAUUGAUACUAAUUAAGCUUUUAAAUUAUGAAAAUUAUUUUUAAAAAAAAAUUAAUUUAAAAUGCUAAGUAAUUGUAGAGGGUACUAAUAAUGUGAUAAAAGGUAUGAAGAAUGUGAGAAUUAAUACAUACUUCAUACUUUCAAAAUUUUACAAUUUUUUCGAUUUUUUUUUUCCACUUAGAAAUACAAUAAUAUUGCUUAUUAAUAUUAAUUAAGCUUAGAAAUUAUGAAAAUUAUUCUAAAAAAACUAAAAAAUUAAAACACCAAGUAAUUGUAAAAGGUACCAAGAACGUAAUGAUUUCUCAUAUUCUUUGUACGUUUUCUCACAUUCCUCCUAUUUUCGAAAUUUUAUAAUUUUUUGAAUUUAUUUUCCACUUAGAAAUACAAUAAUAAUGUUUAUUGGUAUUAAUUAAACUUAGAAAUGAUGUAAAUUAUUCUAAAAAAAUUUAGAAAAUUAGAAAAUUAAAACACUAAAAAAUUUGAAAAUGUACAAAAAAAAAGAGGAAGAAGUGAGUAAUGGUACAAAGAAUGUAAGGAUUCUUUGUUCCCUUUCUCACAUUUUUUGUAUCAUUGAAAUUUUAUAAUUUUAAGAUUUUUUUUUCAUUUAGAAAAUACAAUAAUAUUUUUUAUUAAUACUAAUUAAGUUUAGAAAUAAUGAAAAUUAUCCUUAAAAAUUUAAAAACUAAACCACCGAAAAUUUGGAGAGGGUAGAAGAAAGUGAGGAAGGGUAUAAAGAAUGUGAGAAUCCUAACAUUCUUUGUAUCAUUCCUCAUAUUUUGUGUACUUUAAGAAUUUUACAUUUUUUCAAAAUUUUCUAUUUUUUUUUUUACUUUGAAAUACAAUAAUAUUAUUUAUCCAUACCAAUUAACUUUAUAAAUGAUGAAAAUUAUUCUUAAAAAAAUAAAAAUUUUAAAACACUAAGUAAUUAUAGAGGGUAGAAAUAAUGUGAGGCUUGAAAUUUU
rnacentral:lncRNA from 1 species